AAGCGAGCAACAGAGCGAAGCAACUCGUCGUCUCCCAUCUCCGAUGGCGGCAGAACGAUACUGCAGUCCAAGAAGUUGUUGAUGGCAUUCAGCAGGUCCUGCCUGUCGUCCGCCAGGGUUUUGCUUCACCAAUGCACUCCUUGGGUUUUCAGCACGCCCAACCAAGGCCGCCAUCUUGUGGCAUAUGUGAGCGAGUUUUACAGCUUCUAUUUAGUUGGACUUUAUAUUCAGACAUGAGGGUGGAGAUUGAGCGUCCAAUCUGAUGGUAGUCCAUGCUGGUGGUUGGAGGUCCAAGCAGAACGAAGAGGAAUCUGACGGGCACAGGAACUUCCAGAACGGACUCCAGUUCCACCGCCUCUUGGAGCCUCA